rnacentral:rRNA from 1 species
UACGUAGGCAGCAAGCGUUGUUCGGAGUUACUGGGCGUAAAGGGUGUGUAGGCGGUUUUCUAAGUCAGGGGUGAAAUCCCGGGGCUCAACCCCGAAACUGCACUUGAUACUGCGGUGCUUGAGUACUGGAGAGGAGAUUGGAAUUUACGGUGUAGCAGUGAAGUGCGUAGAUAUCGUAAGGAAGACCAGUGGCGAAGGCGAAUCUCUGGACAGUUACUGACACUGAGGCACGAAGGCCAGGGGAGCAAACGGG